rnacentral:lncRNA from 1 species
CGUGUUGCUGCUGCUGCUGCUGUUGCUGCUGUAGAUACUCGCCGUGGCCGCCGCCGCCUCCGCCGCCGUCCACGUCCAAGGUAUGCCUGCUGCUCAUGGAGGGAAGAAGUGAGCUUUGGAGCGAGAGUUACAGAUAGUUAUGAGUUGCCACAGGGAUCCUCGAGAUUUGACCAAGCCAGAACACCACUCACAAGUUGAUCCUUUUGUUCCAUGAUGUGAGUCGCAGAUAUCAAACUCAGGUGGCCAGGCCUGGCAGCAAGCUCUUCUGGCUGUUCCGCCAUCUCACUGGCCAUGUGGAAAUCUUCUGAAGAUGGACGCACAUGAGCACAAGCUCAGAAAUGAAUAGUUUGA